rnacentral:lncRNA from 1 species
UCACGUGACAUGCCUGCUUCCUCUUUGCCUUCCACCGCAAUUGUAAGGUUCCUGAGGCCCUCGCCAAAAACCAAGCAGGUGUUGGCGCCAUGCUUGUACAGCCUGCAGAACCGCUCCCACAGAACAUGGAUGAUUGCCAUCACACUGUUUAUGAUGAGUAUUGCACUUGACUGGUCAUUUGUCAUCCUUAUAAUGUGCAGAGUGCCUUGGACUGACAAACUGAAAUACAUUUUGAUUAGGCAACAUGAGCAGAAGGAGUGUGGAGAGAGGACUGUAUAAAUCUGUUUUACUCAACCUUGAAGAAAUGUUAAGUGUUAAUUCCCUGCAUCAAAUAAAGUACACCAAGUAUAUAUGCAGCGUUCCUGAGAGCUUCCUAAUGAACUGAAAAAACAAACAAUCUG